UACGAAGGGGCUAGCGUUGCUCGGAAUCACUGGGCGUAAAGGGUGCGUAGGCGGGUCUUUUAAGUCAGGGGUGAAAUCCUGGAGCUCAACUCCAGAACUGCCUUUGAUACUGAGGAUCUUGAGUUCGGGAGAGGUGAGUGGAACUGCGAGUGUAGAGGUGAAAUUCGUAGAUAUUCGCAAGAACACCAGUGGCGAAGGCGGCUCACUGGCCCGAUACUGACGCUGAGGCACGAAAGCGUGGGGAGCAACAGGGAU
rnacentral:rRNA from 1 species